rnacentral:rRNA from 1 species
GAUGAACGCUGGCGGCGUGCCUAAUACAUGCAAGUCGAGCGAACGGACGAGAAGCUUGCUUCUCUGAUGUUAGCGGCGGACGGGUGAGUAACACGUGGAUAACCUACCUAUAAGACUGGGAUAACUUCGGGAAACCGGAGCUAAUACCGGAUAAUAUUUUGAACCGCAUGGUUCAAAAGUGAAAGACGGUCUUGCUGUCACUUAUAGAUGGAUCCGCGCUGCAUUAGCUAGUUGGUAAGGUAACGGCUUACCAAGGCAACGAUGCAUAGCCGACCUGAGAGGGUGAUCGGCCACACUGGAACUGAGACACGGUCCAGACUCCUACGGGAGGCAGCAGUAGGGAAUCUUCCGCAAUGGGCGAAAGCCUGACGGAGCAACGCCGCGUGAGUGAUGAAGGUCUUCGGAUCGUAAAACUCUGUUAUUAGGGAAGAACAUAUGUGUAAGUAACUGUGCACAUCUUGACGGUACCUAAUCAGAAAGCCACGGCUAACUACGUGCCAGCAGCCGCGGUAAUACGUAGGUGGCAAGCGUUAUCCGGAAUUAUUGGGCGUAAAGCGCGCGUAGGCGGUUUUUUAAGUCUGAUGUGAAAGCCCACGGCUCAACCGUGGAGGGUCAUUGGAAACUGGAAAACUUGAGUGCAGAAGAGGAAAGUGGAAUUCCAUGUGUAGCGGUGAAAUGCGCAGAGGUAUGGAGGAACACCAGUGGCGAAGGCGACUUUCUGGUCUGUAACUGACGCUGAUGUGCGAAAGCGUGGGGAUCAAACAGGAUUAGAUACCCUGGUAGUCCACGCCGUAAACGAUGAGUGCUAAGUGUUAGGGGGUUUCCGCCCCUUAGUGCUGCAGCUAACGCAUUAAGCACUCCGCCUGGGGAGUACGACCGCAAGGUUGAAACUCAAAGGAAUUGACGGGGACCCGCACAAGCGGUGGAGCAUGUGGUUUAAUUCGAAGCAACGCGAAGAACCUUACCAAAUCUUGACAUCCCUUGACAACUCUAGAGAUAGAGCCUUCCCCUUCGGGGGACAAAGUGACAGGUGGUGCAUGGUUGUCGUCAGCUCGUGUCGUGAGAUGUUGGGUUAAGUCCCGCAACGAGCGCAACCCUUAAGCUUAGUUGCCAUCAUUAAGUUGGGCACUCUAAGUUGACUGCCGGUGACAAACCGGAGGAAGGUGGGGAUGACGUCAAAUCAUCAUGCCCCUUAUGAUUUGGGCUACACACGUGCUACAAUGGACAAUACAAAGGGCAGCGAAACCGCGAGGUCAAGCAAAUCCCAUAAAGUUGUUCUCAGUUCGGAUUGUAGUCUGCAACUCGACUACAUGAAGCUGGAAUCGCUAGUAAUCGUAGAUCAGCAUGCUACGGUGAAUACGUUCCCGGGUCU